GGUCCUUUUAUUACCAUGCUGUUAAGAAGCCUAAAGUAGCCUACUGUAGAUGAAAGUCUAUCCAUGAUGGGAGAGUAGAGGUUACCCACUGGUAACCAGAACCAUGUUCCAGAGGCCAUCUGGGACCUACAGAUUCAGGAAGAAUUGCCUGUGGAAGUGACAUAAGUGGUGAACUGUGGCAGCCAUUAGAUGUGCCUCAUAGACCUCUAGCUGCAGCAACUCACUCUUUCAACCCCACCUCCUGUUCCACAUGAUAACAGCUGAUUUUAAUUCACUUCAGUGCAACUCCAAUCAUUUCAAGUUUAAACUAUGGCAACUCAGGAUUCCCUCCAUUCCUUUACCCUCUGGAUCUCCCAAGGUUCAUGUAAGUUCUGGAGGCCUUUUAGAGGGUCGUGGCAUUGGGGGAGUGUGAUUGUCUUUCAGCUGCGUUUUGUCCUGUCUGGUGCUGCUGAGAUGACUAUAACACCCACUGAUGUGGGCCUCGCUACAAUGGUUGAGGUCCCUAACUGUACAGUAGUCCAUGCUGCCAUCUGCUGGUGGUUCCUCUUGUUACUCCUGUGAGACCUUAGAUGUUCAAGAUGGCUCCUGAAAUUUAUAUCAUAGUUGUAUACUUUUCAGGGUAAUUUCAUCUUCUCUCUUAUUAUUCUUGGAGGCUACAGAAGGUUGGUGGGAUUUCUUUGAGUUCUUCAUUCAGACAUUCCAGUUGCUCUCAUUCCUUUAUGAGGAUGCAAAUGGAGACCCCUGUGAAGAGGCCUUUUCCUUAGUGUUCCAGGAAGGAACCCUGGAAGGUACACAGGAAGCAGUAUACCAGUCUUCCCUGCUCUUAGAUCCAAACCUUCUUCUACCCUUGAGAGAAUUUUAAUUUCCUUUUAGGCAGACAAAAACUGUCUCAGCAUUGUUCUCCCAUGUUUUUCUGCCAUGAAACUGGGCCACAGAAAUGCUGAGAAACUGACAGAAUUCUCUGCCUAUGAGGAGAUUAUCUUCCCUCUUUGUGUUAGUGAAGACCUUGUGCUCAGUUCUGAUGUUUGGAUUAACACUGCAGUGAAGGCAAAGGUAGCACAGGAAAUAAUCCACCUGCUCAAAGUUAAAGGUGUCAUCCUGUGUUCAUUUUUAUGCAGUGAAAUACAUCCAUCCCUCUGCUUUUGCUUCUGGGCUUAUGUCACAGUAAUUUCUAAUGUCUUUUUUAUAUCACAAUUUUGCAAAAUUUCAUCCACAUAUACUUCUAGGACUUUUAUAGAACAACAUUUUAAACAUAUAAAUCUUGGACUUAUCUUGCAUCUAUUUUAGUAUACACAAGAUAUGAAUUCAGUUUACUAAUUUCUCAAAAUAAUACUAUAGCAACUUAGUGGUUUGGAGUUCUUGGAGGGAUAUUUUGCCUGAAGUAUCCAACUUGCCAGGAAUAUUCACUGAUUUCAUGAUGGGACCUGUGAACCAGUCUUUAGAGUUAAGAGUAGUGAUUGUCAACUUUGACUGCCUAUCAGAACAUUUGGAGAGAGUUAAAAAUACUGAUAACUGGAUCCCAGCUUCUCGUGUAAUUGUUUUGGAGUACAGUCUGUGCGUCAUGAUUUUAAAAAUCUUUCUGGAUGAUUAUAAUGCAUUCAAAAUUGAAUACUAUUAAAUUAUAAAUCUGUCUUUAGGGCAAAAAAGAGCAUGAGUGAAAGCCAUGUGAUGCUUUUUAAUAGAGCAGUAUGGAGCAUGUAUCCCAGUCACCUUGGAUAUGUGGGCUUGUUGAAACCCAGAUUUCUGUGCCCUUCUUUCAGAGUUGCUGAGUCAGAAGCUGCAGAGUGAUGCCAAAGAAUUUGCAUUUCUAACAAGUUCUUGAUUCCUACUAAUGUUACUGGUCCAGGAACCACACUUGGAGAGGAAAUGUAAUAGAGUAUUAAAAGAACUUCUGGAGGAAAAUAACUCUAGACCUUUUAUUUGGUCAGAAGGUAGCAUCCACAUUUAUACUGGUACUUUUCAUUCUCCCAUUUGAGUUUCAAAAAGAUUAUAAAUGAAAUUUAUUCAGAAUUUAUUAUUUAGCUACACUCAUUCUUAAGAUGUAAUUUAAGGUGCAAUAAAAUAAAACAUAAAUGGAAAGAAGGGGAGAAAAUUAGAACAUGAGUAAAAUGAUGUCUGGAAAGACAAAAGGGUAGUGUACAUAUGUACAUUUGCUGAUGUUGGACCAUAAAUUUGGUAAACUUUCAACAGUGAACAUUAAACAGGGAAACAAAAUCAUAGGAAAAUUUAUAGUGCUCCUGAGAUGAAAACAAGCCAGUACU